rnacentral:rRNA from 1 species
UACGUAGGGUGCAAGCGUUAAUCGGAAUUACUGGGCGUAAAGCGUGCGCAGGCGGUUUUUUAAGACAGAUGUGAAAUGCCCGGGCUUAACCUGGGAACUGCAUUUGUGACUGCAAGGCUAGAGUGUGUCAGAGGGGGGUAGAAUUCCACGUGUAGCAGUGAAAUGCGUAGAUAUGUGGAGGAAUACCGAUGGCGAAGGCAGCCCCCUGGGAUAACACUGACGCUCAUGCACGAAAGCGUGGGGAGCAAACAGG